CUGAACUCCAGUUAAAUCCAACUCUCCUCUUACACUUCUUCUGCUCCUGAUCAGCUAAAAAUCACUCAACUCUGAUAACUAUUCCCCCUUUAAAUUUUGACAAGCGGGUGCUGAACAUCGCCUAGCAAUCCUACUAUAUUUGCAUAAGAAAUUUAUUUUCCUAGUCCAUAAAACACUAUAUAGCAUCUCUUAUUCUUCAAAGCCUCCAACACCAAAUACAAAGCCUUUAACAUAAAUUUGUACAUAUUUCCACAUCAGACUUUAUUAUCGUUCUUACAAGAGAAAAGUUUACCACUCAGACAGGUUCCUGCUGUUUCUUUCUGCAAUUUCAUUGCUGCACUUCUCUUGUAGUUUCUCUGCUAUUCUACAAAUUCAAGUUCAUGUCAAAGGAAGAUAAAUCAUGGAGUUCCGUUCCCAAUUAUUCAGACCACCACAUCUCACGGAAACAUUGAAAAAUGCUGGAUAAAGUAUUUUAAAACUCUUCUUAAACGUGUCAGUUGACAAGAUUUUAAGAAAUUACCAGGCCAAAAUCUAAGUGAAAGCAAAGACCUAAUUGAAACUCUUCAGUGAACAUCCUGUACAUUCAUUGGGGUAAACACUUGAUUGUUUCCUAGCAAUAGAAUUGCUGGAUCAAAGGCAUCAUGCUUGGCCUUUCAAACGUGGAAACAGCU
rnacentral:lncRNA from 1 species